UACAGAGGUCUCAAGCGUUGUUCGGAUUCAUUGGGCGUAAAGGGUGCGUAGGCGGCGCGGUAAGUCGGGUGUGAAAUCUCGGAGCUUAACUCCGAAACUGCAUUCGAUACUGCCGUGCUUGAGGACUGGAGAGGAGACUGGAAUUUACGGUGUAGCGGUGAAAUGCGUAGAUAUCGUAAGGAAGACCAAUGGCGAAGGCAGCUCGCUGGGACGGUACUGACGCUGAGACGCGAAAGCGUGGGGAGCAAACAGG
rnacentral:rRNA from 1 species